CUAGAUUAGACACGGCCCAGACUCCUACGGGAGGCAGCAGUGGGGAAUAUUGCGCAAUGGGCGAAAGCCUGACGCAGCGACGCCGCGUGAGGGAUGAAGGCCUUCGGGUUGUAAACCUCUUUCAGCAGGGACGAAGCGAGAGUGACGGUACCUGCAGAAGAAGCACCGGCCAACUACGUGCCAGCAGCCGCGGUAAUACGUAGGGUGCAAGCGUUGUCCGGAAUUAUUGGGCGUAAAGAGCUCGUAGGCGGUCUGUCGCGUCGGCUGUGAAAACUCGGGGCUCAACCCCGAGCCUGCAGUCGAUACGGGCAGACUAGAGUGCUGUAGGGGAGACUGGAAUUCCUGGUGUAGCGGUGAAAUGCGCAGAUAUCAGGAGGAACACCGGUGGCGAAGGCGGGUCUCUGGGCAGUAACUGACGCUGAGGAGCGAAAGCGUGGGGAGCAAACAGGAUUAGAUACCCUGGUAGUCCACGCCGUAAACGGUGGGUGCUAGGUGUGAGCGGUAUUCCACGCCGUUCGUGCCGCAGCUAACGCAUUAAGCACCCCGCCUUGGGAGUACGGCCGCAAGGCUAAAACUCAAAGGAAUUGACGGGGGCCCGCACAAGCAGCGGAGCAUGUGGCUUAAUUCGACGCAACGCGAAGAACCUUACCAAGGCUUGACAUACACCGAAAAACUCGUAGAGAUACGGGGUCCGCAAGGGCGGUGUACAGGUGGUGCAUGGUUGUCGUCAGCUCGUGUCGUGAGAUGUUGGGCUAAGUCCCGCAACGAGCGCAACCCUCGUUCUAUGUUGCCAGCGGGUCAUGCCGGGGACUCAUAGGAGACUGCCGGGGUCAACUCGGAGGAAGGUGGGGACGACGUCAAAUCAUCAUGCCCCUUAUGUCUUGGGCUGCACACGUAAUCG
rnacentral:rRNA from 1 species